AUUGAACGCUGGCGGCAUGCCUUACACAUGCAAGUCGAACGGCAGCACGGGAGCAAUCCUGGUGGCGAGUGGCGAACGGGUGAGUAAAGUAUCGGAACGUGCCCAGUCGUGGGGGAUAACGUAGCGAAAGUUACGCUAAUACCGCAUACGACCUAAGGGUGAAAGCGGGGGAUCGCAAGACCUCGCGCUAUGGGAGCGGCCGAUGUCGGAUUAGCUAGUUGGUGGGGUAAAGGCUCACCAAGGCAACGAUCCGUAGCUGGUCUGAGAGGACGACCAGCCACACUGGGACUGAGACACGGCCCAGACUCCUACGGGAGGCAGCAGUGGGGAAUUUUGGACAAUGGGCGCAAGCCUGAUCCAGCCAUGCCGCGUGCGGGAAGAAGGCCUUCGGGUUGUAAACCGCUUUUGUCAGGGAAGAAACGGUCUGCGUUAAUACCGCGGACUAAUGACGGUACCUGAAGAAUAAGCACCGGCUAACUACGUGCCAGCCGCCGCCGUAA
rnacentral:rRNA from 1 species